CGCCUACAACCCGCCCUGCCCGCCUCCCCAGGAAUGUGGAAUGCACCUGAACUGGAUCCUGCACGAGGAAGAAUGACUGAUCAAAGUCGCCAAGCCACCUGUUCCGGGACAGGUCCAAGAGAAAAUCAUUACCCAUUCAUUGUAUUAAUCUCUGUAAGCUGGGGCGCAGUUUCACUAAAAGCGGCUCGUAGACUCGUACAACAAUGGAUUGCUGCCUGUCUGCUGAGAAAGCGGAGAGUCUCAGGAUACACAGAGAAAUAGAGAAAGAACUUCGUCGUAAUAAAAGAACCAACCGCCGGGAGUUGAAGUUGCUGCUUUUAGGGACUGGUGAAAGUGGGAAGAGCACUUUCAUCAAACAGAUGAGGAUCAUCCAUGGCAGUGGAUACAGUGAAGAUGACAGGAAAGGUUUCACUCGGCUAGUGUUUCAGAACAUCGUCACAGCCAUCCAGUCGCUGAUCCACGCCAUGGGGACUCUACAAAUUGACUACGUCGAUGACCACAACAUUAGUCACGCACAGAAGCUGAGCCAAGUGGAGGCAGACCAGGUGUCCACUUUGGAGGCUUGGCAGGUGGAUGCCAUUAUGCGAGUGUGGAAUGACCAUGGUGUUCAAAGGUGCUACGACCGCAGGAGGGAAUUCCAGUUAUCGGACUCUGCCAAAUAUUACCUGAGUGACUUGGACAGAAUCACAGCCCAGUCAUACAUCCCCACACUGCAGGACAUCUUGAGGGUCAGGGUCCCCACCACGGGCAUCAUAGAGUACCCCUUUGACCUGUCAAAAGUUAUCUUCAGGAUGGUGGAUGUGGGCGGUCAGCGUUCAGAGAGGAGGAAAUGGAUCCACUGUUUUGAGAAUGUCACUUCCAUCAUAUUUCUAGCGGCCCUCAGCGAGUAUGAUCAAGUCCUUAACGAGAAUGAGAAAGAUAAUCGACUGAAGGAGAGCGUCGCCUUGUUCAAGACAAUCAUCUCAUACACUUGGUUCCAGGAGUCUUCCAUCAUCCUCUUCCUGAACAAAACGGACUUGCUAGAGGAGAAAAUCACACAUUCACAUUUGGCAACCUACUUCCCAGACUUUACUGGGCCUCAGUGUGAUGCUGGAGCUGCGAAAAAGUUCAUCAAACAAAUGUAUGUGGAUGAGCACCGAGGACAUCCUAAAUCCUUUUACUCACACUACACCUGUGCCACGGACACAGGGAACAUCCGGGUUGUCUUCAAAGCCGUUGAAGAUACAAUCCGCCAAGAGAACUUUGACCUGUUCAACCUCCAAUAAGGAGGUUGUAGGACAAAGUGAUGGUUUCACCUUUAGGAGCCUGGUUAUACAGUGACAUGUCACUUUUAUGGACAUUUUAUCUGUUGUGCUGUCGGUUGCAGCUUGUUCAAAGACAUCAAAGGGAGGCAAUCAGACAGCAAUGACAGGUAAGGGACAUUUAUCCUUGCACUGUAAAAUACAGGCAGUAUGUGCCAUUUCUUAAUAUAAAUGGUAAAAAAACAUUUUCUUUUGCUACAGGAGAGAAAGGAACAACUGCAAUGUCAGUUAAUUGUUGUACUGAACCGUUUACAGAGAGAUUCCUUGUAUAUCAUUGCUGUUAGAUGGAUAGUAAAUGGUAUCAAACUGGUUAGACAAAGUCUACUAAGAAUGCAACCCACCCUGCCUUACAACUCUGUGAGGAGGAAGUAAAAGAAUAAAUACCCUGCUGGGACCAACAAUUCCCAAGUUUGUAUUUAUGCUGUUUUAUGUGUGCAACAACAACCAUGUAGCCUAUAAAAUGAUUCCUCUUUUUUUUCACUAGAUAUUAAAGGGUCAAUAUUGUAAAAAGUGA